AUUGAACGCUGGCGGCAGGCCUAACACAUGCAAGUCGAACGGUAACAGGAAACAGCUUGCUGUUUCGCUGACGAGUGGCGGACGGGUGAGUAUGUCUGGGAAACUGCCUGAUGGAGGGGGAUAACUACUGGAAACGGUAGCUAAUACCGCAUAACGUCGCAAGACCAAAGAGGGGGACCUUCGGGCCUCUUGCCAUCGGAUGUGCCCAGAUGGGAGUUAGCUAGUAGGUGGGGUAACGGCUCACCUAGGCGACGAUCCCUAGCUGGUCUGAGAGGAUGACCAGCCACACUGGAACUGAGACACGGUCCAGACUCCUACGGGAGGCAGCAGUGGGGAAUAUUGCACAAUGGGCGCAAGCCUGAUGCAGCCAUGUCGCGUGUAUGAAGAAGGCCUUCGGGUUGUAAAGUACUUUCAGCGGGGAGGAAGGGAGUAAAGUUAAUACCUUUGCUCAUUGACGUUACCCGCAGAAGAAGCACCGGCUAACUCCGUGCCAGCAGCCGCGGUAA
rnacentral:rRNA from 1 species